rnacentral:antisense_RNA from 1 species
CUUCACCGACCCCAACCACAACGGCCGACCCACAUCCCGACCCUGACCGUACGUGGCAAGCAACGCCUGCGCCUC